rnacentral:rRNA from 1 species
UUCGCAAUGCCCGAAAGGGUGACGAAGCGACGCCGCGUGUGGGAAGAAGGCCUUCGGGUUGUAAACCACUGUCGGGAGUUAAGAAAUGUAAGGAUGUUAAUAGCGUCCUUACUUGACUAAGGCUCCAGAGGAAGCCACGGCUAGCUCUGUGCCAGCAGCCGCGGUAAUACAGAGGCGGCAAGCGUUGUUCGGAAUUAUUGGGCGUAAAGAGCACGUAGGCGGCCUUGUAAGUCAGUUGUGAAAGCCUUCUGCUUAACGGAAGAACAGCAUCUGAUACUGCAAGGCUAGAGUGCGGAAGGGGAGAGUGGAACUUCUGGUGGAGCGGUGAAAUGCGUAGAUAUCAGAAGGAACACCGGCGGCGAAGGCGACUCUCUGGUCCGUAACUGACGCUGAGUGUGCGAAAGCUAGGGGAGCAAACGGGAUUAGAUACCCCGGUAGUCCUAGCCGUAAACGAUGGGCACUAAGUAGAGGGGUUUU